rnacentral:rRNA from 1 species
AUGCAUUUUAACUCCCAUAUGCUCCAUGCCAUCUCCUCUUCACUUUCGGAUCACUACCCUCUCCUCCUCGCCGAUGACAAGGGGACCAAGCGACCAAGAUGUUUCAAAUUCGAGAAUUUUUGGUCCUGUCACCCGGGAUUCUUUGACAUCGUGUCAAAGGCUUGGGAUGAGCCAUGCGAGCACAUGGAGCCUUGCCAGCGGCUUUUACAUAAGCUCGGGAAAACGGGGUGGCACUUGGCGGGAGAUGGAGUAAGGGCCUCUUCUCUAAGGCAAGUUGCAUCUUCAUGCGGACCUUCCCGUUAUCCUUCGCCUUGA